rnacentral:rRNA from 1 species
GACGAACGCUGGCGGCGUGCUUUACACAUGCAAGUCGAACGGUAACAGGUUAAGCUGACGAGUGGCGAACGGGUGAGUAAUGCAUCGGAACGUGCCCGAUCGUGGGGGAUAACGCAGCGAAAGCUGCGCUAAUACCGCAUACGAUCUGAGGAUGAAAGCGGGGGACCGUAAGGCCUCGCGCGAUCGGAGCGGCCGAUGUCAGAUUAGGUAGUUGGUGGGGUAAAGGCCCACCAAGCCGACGAUCUGUAGCUGGUCUGAGAGGACGACCAGCCACACUGGGACUGAGACACGGCCCAGACUCCUACGGGAGGCAGCAGUGGGGAAUUUUGGACAAUGGGCGAAAGCCUGAUCCAGCAAUGCCGCGUGCAGGAAGAAGGCCUUCGGGUUGUAAACUGCUUUUGUACGGAGCGAAAAGGUCCUUUCUAAUACAAGGGGCUCAUGACGGUACCGUAAGAAUAAGCACCGGCUAACUACGUGCCAGCCGCCGCGGUAA